CCUACGUGUGGCUGCAGUGAGGAAUAUUGGUCAAUGGACGAGAGUCUGAACCAGCCAAGUAGCGUGAAGGAUGACUGCCCUAUGGGUUGUAAACUUCUUUAUAUGGGAAUAAAAUGUUCCAAGUGUGGGAUUUUGUAUGUACCAUAUGAAUAAGGAUCGGCUAACUCCGUGCCAGCCGCCGCGGUAAUACGGAGGAUCCGGGCGUUAUCCGGAUUUAUUGGGUUUAAAGGGAGCGUAGGUUGAUUGUUAAGUCAGUUGUGAAAGUUUGCGGCUCAACCGGAAAAUUGCAGUUGAAACUGGCAGUCUUGAGUACAUGAGAGGUAGGCGGAAUGCGUGGUGUAGCGGUGAAAUGCUUAGAUAUCACGAAGAACUCCGAUUGCGAAGGCAGUUCACUGGACUGCAACUGACACUGAGGCUCGAAAGUGUGGGUAUCAAACAGGAUUAGAUACCCUAGUAGUC
rnacentral:rRNA from 1 species